AGCUCACUGCUGGCAGCUCUCCUCCUCCUCCCCCUCCACUCCAAUGGUACAGACACAGAAACAUGACAGAAGAGAUGCACAAAAUGCUUUCCGCUUCUUCUGCUUUGCAGGGAAAUACAGUCAUCAGAGCCCAGAUCAAAGUGAAAGAGGAAAAAAGCACAGAUGCUGCUCGGUUGUGAAGGAGGAGGUGGGGCACACAGGGAGGUAAGCUGUGUUUGGAAAUGGAGUAUUUCUGCUGCCCAAAUCAGAUUCACCUGAGUGCAGCUCAUAGCUGGACACUGGGGCUCGAAGAACUUGCCUUGAUAUCAUCACCUCCUGCAACAGGUGCUGCAAGUUGCAAGUGGCCCUCAUAACAGCGUAUAUUGCCAUGUGGGAAAUCACUGGGGUGUAAGGCAGGCAGAGAGGAGGCUGAGCUGCAGUCGCUCACCAAAAUGCUGUUGUUUGGGGUGGGGUUAGGUUUGCUGUGCUUUGCUGUGGCGCUGGGUUCUUUUAAUAUUAUUAAUAAUGUGAAUAGGAGCUACGUCCCUGGGCUAUGCUGACAAGGCAGCUGCAGGCAGAAGAGCUAUGUCCUUGAGCUGUGCUGAUAAGAGCUGCAGGUGAGGGAUCUGUAGGCAGCACGCCUGGGGUAGGUGCUGGGCAUCACAGUGGUGUUAACACCCAGUUGCACUGGGAGCGUCAGGGCUGUCCACAAAAAAUUAUGUCCACCUGUCUUGUAGAAGCUUCCAGCAUUUCAUUGCAUUGAAUCUACAUGCAAAUCUGUUUCAGUCAGGAGGAAGAAUUUUGUUGCAAUUUUCGGGUCAACGUUUGUGUUGUAAAGACAUUAAGAGCUGUCACCUCGUGUGAGGAACGGUAGUACCAAUAUAACCUAUUUUUAUAGUGUUAAAAUGAUUCUUAGGUCCCAUUUCCAGUUUUGCAGGUUACCGGUGGGCAUGGUUGCUCCUGUGGUGGCACAGAAUGAAGGUGGGGACAGUGAUGGAGUUGGAGAGCUAUAACUGUGUGCUCCCUUGGCAGGACUGGGGUCAGCAUUGCAGAAGCCGCACUAUUAAUCCACUGGAGAUCGAUGAAAACCAACAUUUUUUUUUCAUAGAAUCCACAGAAUUCAUAGAAUGGUUUGGGUUGGAAGAGUCCUUCAAGCCCACUCACCCCAACCUGUGCCGUGGGCAG
ensembl:lncRNA